AAAUUGAAGAGUUUGAUCAUGGCUCAGAUUGAACGCUGGCGGCAGGCCUAACACAUGCAAGUCGAACGGUAACAGGAAGCAGCUUGCUGCUUUGCUGACGAGUGGCGGACGGGUGAGUAAUGUCUGGGAAACUGCCUGAUGGAGGGGGAUAACUACUGGAAACGGUGGCUAAUACCGCAUAACGUCGCAAGACCAAAGAGGGGGACCUUCGGGCCUCUUGCCAUCAGAUGUGCCCAGAUGGGAUUAGCUAGUUGGUGAGGUAACGGCUCACCAAGGCGACGAUCCCUAGCUGGUCUGAGAGGAUGACCAGCCACACUGGAACUGAGACACGGUCCAGACUCCUACGGGA
rnacentral:rRNA from 1 species